rnacentral:ncRNA from 1 species
CCCCGUCCGGUAAGGGAACAACCAACCCACCGGAAGCGAGUCUUGGGCUGCUAUCGGUAACGACAGCAGUCAAGCGUAGACAGUAAGGUUGCAGGGAUGGCUAUUGAGCGCCGAAAUACCGAAAUUCCGCAGGGCCAUGCUGUGGUCAGAGCAGAAGCCAACAUGUAGGCUUAUCGACAUGGUGAGCUA